rnacentral:lncRNA from 1 species
GGUGAUCAAGGUCGAGAUGGAGCCACGGGCCCCCCUGGUCCACCAGGACCCCCAGGUGCCCGGGGGCCUCCUGGGGACACGGGAAAGGAUGGCCCACGAGGACCUCCAGGCCCCCCUGUAAGGACGGGAGAUGCGCAGCAAGCACAUAUCAGGCAGUUCCCACCCCACAAGGGACAGGAGGGUGAAGGGUGUCCCCUUCCCCAGUGCUGCCACCACAACCACUGAGUGCCCAGCCUGAGCCACAGCUGGGCUCCAAAGGUGGCUCAUAGAGCCAAGCCCUGGGGUGUGGGGCAAGGGAGCAGGAGGGGACCUUCCAUCUCAAGUUUUGGAGCAAAGAGCUGGACCUGGGGCAUGUAUUUGCAGGUGCUGGUGCUGUCACAGAGCCAGGAGAUCUCUUCCCCAAUCCAUACCCUUUGCAAAUCUGAAAUUGAUACUUGUUGCAAAUCUGAAGACCACUGGCAAUACAUUUAAUAAAAAAAUAGGCUAAAACAUAACGCAGUGGAACAUUCUAAUUAUUGCUGAGAAUUAUUUUGGAGAAUGGGAGGUAAUAGUUUCCAUGUUGGUCUUUUGAUUUUUUGCAGGGUUUCAAAGGCGAGCCAGGAGAGGAUGGAGUGAUGGGUGCCAGAGGACCUCCAGGAUCAAAGGGUGAACCUGGUGUCCAAGGGAAAAAGGGUGAUGAUGGGAUCCCUGGGGAACCAGGACUUGUGGGCCCUAAGGGAGAAAAAGGAAGCGUGGGUCCCAAGGGAGAGAACGGCACAGAUGGCUUCCCAGGACUAAAGGGUGAACCUGGUGAGAAGGGAGGAAUUGGCUCCAUUGGACCCCGGGGUCCCCCUGGGCUGAAAGGGGAGCAGGGAGACACCGUCGUGAUCGACUACGACGGCCGAGUCCAGGAUGCUCUCAAGGUAAGCCCUGCGCCAAGCUGGGUCCUGCUCUUCGUGGGAAAGGACAGAAAUCUGCCAAGCUCUGCCACAGUGACAUUGUGGCAAUGUGUCCACCCUUGUC